rnacentral:lncRNA from 1 species
GGAGUUGCAGCCGAGUACUUGGGACAAACCCUGACAUCCUGCUCUGUAUGGACAGUGUGAGGAUUGCAUGGGUUCGUGACACUACGGAGGAACCAGAUAUGGCUACAUGUGAUCAAGGAUUGCAGAUAUCUGUUAUCGUCGAGGGAAGGAUGCCUUUGUCUACCGUGAUUCUAAUGAAGAUGGAUCUGUAAAAUGAUCAUUUCUGACAUCCUUCAUAUUCUCAUUCUUGGGCCUCCCUCCUCUGGCAUUUACACCAAUGUUUCCACAGUCCUUUGUGGAAGAGACAAUUGCUACACCGUG